UACAGAGGGUGCAAGCGUUAAUCGGAAUUACUGGGCGUAAAGCGUGCGUAGACGGUUAUGUAAGUCAGGUGUGAAAGCCCCGGGCUCAACCUGGGAAUUGCAUUUGAGACUGCAUAGCUAGGGUGCGGAAGAGGGAAGCGGAAUUUCCGGUGUAGCGGUGAAAUGCGUAGAUAUCGGAAGGAACACCAGUGGCGAAAGCGGCUUCCUGGUCCGACACCGACGUUCAGGCACGAAAGCGUGGGGAGCAAACAGG
rnacentral:rRNA from 1 species